UGGGGAAUAUUGGACAAUGGGGGCAACCCUGAUCCAGCCAUGCCGCGUGUGUGAAGAAGGCCUUUUGGUUGUAAAGCACUUUAAGCAGUGAAGAAGACUCCAUGGUUAAUACCCAUGGACGAUGACAUUAGCUGCAGAAUAAGCACCGGCUAACUCUGUGCCAGCAGCCGCGGUAAUACAGAGGGUGCAAGCGUUAAUCGGAAUUACUGGGCGUAAAGCGAGCGUAGGUGGCUUGAUAAGUCAGAUGUGAAAUCCCCGGGCUUAACCUGGGAACUGCAUCUGAUACUGUUAGGCUAGAAUAGGUGAGAGGAAGGUAGAAUUCCAGGUGUAGCGGUGAAAUGCGUAGAGAUCUGGAGGAAUACCGAUGGCGAAGGCAGCCUUCUGGCAUCAUAUUGACACUGAGGUUCG
rnacentral:rRNA from 1 species